GACGAACGCUGGCGGCGUGCUUAACACAUGCAAGUCGAACGGAAAGGCCCUGCUUGCAGGGUACUCGAGUGGCGAACGGGUGAGUAACACGUGGGUGAUCUGCCCUGCACUUCGGGAUAAGCUUGGGAAACUGGGUCUAAUACCGGAUAGGAGCCAUCUUUAGUGUGGUGGUUGGAAAGUUUUUUCGGUGUAGGAUGAGCUUGCGGCCUAUCAGCUUGUUGGUGGGGUAAUGGCCUACCAAGGCGGCGACGGGUAGCCGGCCUGAGAGGGUGUACGGCCACAUUGGGACUGAGAUACGGCCCAGACUCCUACGGGAGGCAGCAGUGGGGAAUAUUGCACAAUGGGCGCAAGCCUGAUGCAGCGACGCCGCGUGGGGGAUGAAGGCCUUCGGGUUGUAAACUCCUUUCGCUAGGGACGAAGCUUUUUUGUGACGGUACCUAGAUAAGAAGCACCGGCUAACUACGUG
rnacentral:rRNA from 1 species